rnacentral:rRNA from 1 species
AACGCUAGCUACAGGCUUAACACAUGCAAGUCGAGGGGCAGCAUAAGAUUAGCUUGCUAAUUUUGAUGGCGACCGGCGCACGGGUGAGUAACGCGUAUCCAACCUUCCCGCCACUCAGGGAUAGCCCAGCGGAAGUUGGAUUAAUACCUGAUGUUUUGCGACUGAGGCAUCUUGGUUGUAACAAAGAUUUAUCGGUGACGGAUGGGGAUGCGUCUGAUUAGGUAGUAGGCGGGGUAACGGCCCACCUAGCCGACGAUCAGUAGGGGUUCUGAGAGGAAGGUCCCCCACAUUGGAACUGAGACACGGUCCAAACUCCUACGGGAGGCAGCAGUGAGGAAUAUUGGUCAAUGGACGAGAGUCUGAACCAGCCAAGUAGCGUGCAGGAUGACGGCCCUAUGGGUUGUAAACUGCUUUUAUGUGGGAAUAAAUAAGAUUACGUGUAAUCUGUUGCAUGUACCACAUGAAUCAGGACCGGCUAAUUCCGUGCCAGCAGCCGCGGUAAUACGGAAGGUCCGGGCGUUAUCCGGAUUUAUUGGGUUUAAAGGGAGCGUAGGCGGUCUGUUAAGCGUGUUGUGAAAUGUAACGGCUCAACCGUUGACUUGCAGCGCGAACUGGCAGUCUUGAGUGCGCAGGAAGUAGGCGGAAUUCGUGGUGUAGCGGUGAAAUGCUUAGAUAUCACGAAGAACUCCGAUUG